UUAUACUACUAUGCAAUGCUUAAUGUUUUUUUUCAUUUCAGUAGCCUGUUGGUAAGUACACUAACUUUCUUUAACUUUCAUAUUGAACUGUUUUGAUGACUUGUAUUCUGCUAUACAAAAUGUGUUUUUUUCAUUUCAGUUGCCUGUGGUAAGUACACUAACUUUCUAUCAUUUCAUAUUAAACUGUUUUGAUGACCUGUAUUUUGCAUUGUAAAAUGUGUUUCUUUUUCAUUUCAGUAUGGCUGUGGUAAGUACACUAACUUUCUUUAAUUUUCAUAUUGAACUGUUUUGAUGACUUGUAUUCUGCUAAACAAAAUGUGCUUUUUUCAAUUUCAGGUCAGCAAUGGUAAGUAUAGUGUGUUUCUUUAUGUAUAAUUGUGUAUACAAAGUUUUUUUUUCAUCAAAGCAUGUCUUUUAUAUUUAUGCUUUGUGUAAGUAAAAUGUUCAUAAAUCAUUCUUAUCUUCAAACUAAAAAUGUAUUGUGCUAUGCAAAAUGUCUGUAUGUUUUCAGUUGCCAGAGGUGAGUACCAUUACAGUUGAAAAGUUAGUUUUGUUUAGUUAAAGUUUUGGUUCACAGUUCUGUUUGUUAUUUGGCAAAAUUUACAUGUAUGCAUUGAGUCUUGAUUUCAGCUCGAUUGUGGACUGAAGAAGAUUGCCAGCAGAGGGAUUGGAUACAAAAUACAAAGUAAGUACUGAGUUUCUUACUAAAAGUUUUGAGUUGUAUUCAUUGUGUGUAAAUAUGCUAUGAUUGCUAUGAACAUGACUUUUGUAUUUCAGCGAAGACAACAUAGGUAAGUAAAAUUGUUAUCUGUUUCAUGUUUACUGUUACAGUUCAAUAUUGUGUUUAUAAAUUUUAAGUUGUACAAACACAUUCAAAAGUUUCUAAUCAUGCUUUCGAUUUCAUUUCAGCUUUACUGCUAGACGAGUGUUCUCUACUACUUGACGAGUCAGCUUUACUACCAGGCGAGCAGUGACAACAAGGCGCCUUUGUGGAAACAACACAACAAAAAACUCUACUGCUAGACGAGCAGUGACAGAAAGGCGCCUGAACAUGCAACACAAUACAAAAAAUGCCAAUUUGCAAACCUUGAUGUGGACACCGAGUAGUCAAUACAUACGUGUGGGGUACAGCUGCGACAAAACCGUGGGUCCAUCGCACCGAUAACUUGAACAUUUGCCCGCGUAUGGACAUCAGUGCAACUUUGUGAAUCCAUGUAACUUUGUGAAUCCAUGUAACAUUGCGAAUAUGUGUCGAUCGAAAAAUGUGAACAUUAUGCAAUGAAACGAACUCGGUGUUGCAAGUGGCAAGUGUUGACAGUGUGCAUGUUUAUGUUUAUGCUUUUACAUGAAAAAUAAAGGAGAUUGUUCUCCUACCUUUUUUUUCCUUGUUUUAUUGUGCU